rnacentral:lncRNA from 1 species
AUGCAGCCCACUCGUGAUGCCAGGUCAGCAGAAGGGCCGGUUCAGGCCACUGCGUUAGGCCGGGGGUUGUCACCUACAGUGGCAGGUCGCGGUGACCUCGUGUGCGUUUGUCUGAUUGGUGUCCAUCCCUCCAAAGAGACUGAGCUCUGCGAGCAUCGAACUGUUCUGAUUUUGUUUUACCGUCGGUGUUUGGAGCUCAGCCCAGGACCUGGAACCCAAGGGGCGCCUGGGGAACCAGUGCAACGGGGAGCGGAGGGGAGGCCACAGCCACGGGAGGGCCGCCGGGGCCCAGCGCAGGAGCGCAGGGGAGGGGAGGCCACAGGAACCGGAGGGCCGCCGGGGCCCAUGCAGGAGCAGAGGGCAGGGGAGGCCGCAGGAACGGGAGGGCCGCCGGGCCCGUGCAGGAGCGCAGGGGAGGCCUCAGGAACUGGAGGGCCGCCGGGGGCCCCGCCCAGGAGCAGAGGGGAGAGGAGGCCACAGGAACGGAAGGGCUGCGGGGCCCAGCGCAAGAGCACAGGGGAGGGGAGGCCACAGGAACGGGAGGGCCGCCGGGGCCCCGUGCAGGAGUGCAGGGGAGGCCUCAAGAACGGGAGGGCCACUGGGGCCACGCACAGGAGCAGAGGGGAGGGGAGGCCACAGGAACGGGAGGGCCGCUGGGGCCCAGCGCAGGAGCAGAGGGCAGGGGAGGCCGCAGGAACAGGAGGGCCGCGGGGCCCAGCGCAGGAGCACAGGGGAGGGGAGGCCGCAGGAACGAGAGGGCCGCCAGGGCCCAGCGCAGGAGCAGAGGGCAGGGGAGGCCGCAGGAACGGGAGGGCCGCGGGGCCCAGCGCAGGAGCACAGGGCAGGGGAGGCCGCAGGAACUGGAGGGCCGCGGGGCCCAGCGCAGGAGCAGAGGGGAGGGGAGGCCGCAGGAACCGGAGGGCCGCCGGGGCCUGUGCAGGAGCACAGGGGAGGGGAGGCCGCAGGAACGAGAGGGCCGCCAGGGCCCAGCGCAGGAGCAGAGGGCAGGGGAGGCCGCAGGAACGGGAGGGCCGCGGGGCCCAGCGCAGGAGCACAGGGGAGGGGAGGCCGCAGGAACGGGAGGGCCGCGGGGCCCAGCGCAGGAGCACAGGGCAGGGGAGGCCGCAGGAACCGGAGGGCCGCCGGGGCCUGUGCAGGAGCACAGGGGAGGCCGCAGCCACGGGAGAGCCGCCACGUCCAGGGCAGGCGGUGGAGGGUCCAAGACGAACGUCUGUCGUGGUAAGGCCUCUGGAAUCCAAGGCCAAACGUAGGCGGCCUCUCCCAGGAGCUCAGGGUAGACGAGGGGCGACGAGACGCCACGGAGGGGCAGCCCCGGCGCCGCCGUCAGGGAGGCAGAGCCCUGAGCGCAGGGCUGGCGGCCAGGGCCAGGGCCCGGGAGGCUCAAGGCCAACCUGCGAGCUCCUGCCUCGGGGCUCGCUGCGCAGCAGCCUGGUGGCUGUCACCUCACGGAACUCUCAGGGCCCUCGGGAUGGGGCUCCGUCCUUCCUGUCUUUGUAG